rnacentral:rRNA from 1 species
UACGUAGGGUGCGAGCGUUAAUCGGAAUUACUGGGCGUAAAGCGUGCGCAGGCGGUUCGUUGUGUCUGAUGUGAAAGCCCCGGGCUCAACUUGGGAACGGCAUUGGAAACUGGCGAGCUAGAGUGUGGCAGAGGGGGGUGGAAUUCCGCGUGUAGCAGUGAAAUGCGUAGAGAUGCGGAGGAACACCGAUGGCGAAGGCAGUGUCCUGGGGAGUACCUGACGCUCAGGUGCGAAAGCCAGGGGAGCGAACGGG